rnacentral:rRNA from 1 species
UGGGGAAUUUUGGACAAUGGGCGCAAGCCUGAUCCAGCCAUUCCGCGUGAGUGAAGAAGGCCUUCGGGUUGUAAAGCUCUUUCGCAAGGGAAGAAAACUUACNNUCUAAUAWWGUGUGAGGWUGACGGUACCUUGAUAAGAAGCACCGGCUACUACGUG